rnacentral:rRNA from 1 species
GACGAACGCUGGCGGCGUGCCUAACACAUGCAAGUCGAGCGAAUGAAGUUCCUUCGGGAAUGGAUUUAGCGGCGGACGGGUGAGUAACACGUGGGCAACCUGCCUCAUAGAGGGGAAUAGCCUCCCGAAAGGGAGAUUAAUACCGCAUAAGAUUGUAGUACCGCAUGAUACAGCAAUUAAAGGAGCAAUCCGCUAUGAGAUGGGCCCGCGGCGCAUUAGCUAGUUGGUGAGGUAAUGGCUCACCAAGGCGACGAUGCGUAGCCGACCUGAGAGGGUGAUCGGCCACAUUGGGACUGAGACACGGCCCAGACUCCUACGGGAGGCAGCAGUGGGGAAUAUUGCACAAUUGGGGAAACCCUGAUGCAGCAACGCCGCGUGAGUGAUGACGGCCUUCGGGUUGUAAAGCUCUGUCUUCAGGGACGAUAAUGACGGUACCUGAGGAGGAAGCCACGGCUAACUACGUG